GACGAACGCUGGCGGCGUGCUUAACACAUGCAAGUCGAACGGAAAGGCCCCUUUGGGGGUACUCGAGUGGCGAACGGGUGAGUAACACGUGAGUAACCUGCCCUUGACUUCGGGAUAACUUCAGGAAACUGGGGCUAAUACCGGAUAGGAAUCCUUGCUGCAUGGUGGGGGUUGGAAAGCUUCGGCGGUUUUGGAUGGACUCGCGGCUUAUCAGCUUGUUGGUGGGGUAGUGGCUUACCAAGGCUUUGACGGGUAGCCGGCCUGAGAGGGCGACCGGCCACAUUGGGACUGAGAUACGGCCCAGACUCCUACGGGAGGCAGCAGUGGGGAAUAUUGCACAAUGGGCGGAAGCCUGAUGCAGCAACGCCGCGUGCGGGAUGACGGCCUUCGGGUUGUAAACCGCUUUCAGCAGGGGCGAAGCUUGUGGUGACGGUACCUGCAGAAGAAGCACCGGCUAGCUACGUG
rnacentral:rRNA from 1 species